GAUGAACGCUAGCGGCAGGCUUAAUACAUGCGAGUCGUGGGGCAGCAGGGGUGUAGCAAUACAUCUGCUGGCGACCGGCAAACGGGUGCGUAACACGUACGCAACCUUCCCGUUACUGUGGCAUAGCCCAGGGAAACUUGGAUUAAUACCACAUAUUAUAUAGAGAGGGCAUCCUUUUUAUAUCAAAGCUUCGGCGGUAACGGAUGGGCGUGCGGUUGAUUAGGUAGUUGGCGGGGUAACGGCCCACCAAGCCUACGAUCAAUAGCUGAUGUGAGAGCAUGAUCAGCCACACGGGCACUGAGACACGGGCCCGACUCCUACGGGAGGCAGCAGUAAGGAAUAUUGGGCAAUGGACGAAAGUCUGACCCAGCCAUGCCGCGUGAAGGAUUAAGGUCCUCUGGAUUGUAAACUUCUUUUCUCUGGGGCGAAAACCAGCUAUUCUUAGCUAUUUGACAGUACCAGAGGAAUAAGCACCGGCUAACUCCGUGCCAGCAGCCGCGGUAAAAC
rnacentral:rRNA from 1 species